rnacentral:lncRNA from 1 species
GUUUUGUUCCUCCUGUUGGCUGCACAGAGGUUUACAAGAAGCAACCCUGGGCAAACAGCCCCCAGUGUGUGUCCCACACACAGCUGAAAGAAAUGCCUUCCUUUUGAUUCUCAUGCACAAUGAGGGAGUGUGGUCUCUUUCUCAGCCAAUACUGGUGCAAGAAAAUAUUUCAGUUCUCAACCUGGUAAUGUACUGCAGAGUCUGUUCCACCGGGAAGAAACGCGGAGAGGCACUGCUCUGCUGCCUCCGUCCAGAAUAAAGCGAUAGAGAUCUUUUUUAAAAAAGAGUAUAUUGGUGAUCACCGUUUCCCUUAAAAUAUACUUCAAGAAAUGCAGAGGAAACCAUAGAAUUUAAAAAUGAAAAUAAAAAGUGCUCUCAGGGGAUCUGAGAAAACAGCACCAAAUAUAUUAUUUAAAAAAUUAAAUAUUAUUUACAAAAGUAUAUUUCAUAAGCAACUGUUUCUUUUAUAUAUAUCUGCUUGCAAAUCUCUUUAUAAAGGGGACAGCUCUUUUUCACACACUGAUCCACCGCCAGUAAAGAUUUCCUCUAACCUAUCUCCAUGAUCGUACUGUCAUAGGAGUUGGGGCAGCACUCAGGCUCAGCUGACAUUCUCUGGGCAUCAGGUUUUGGCUGUAUGUGAUUCACGUCAAAUCAACCCAUCAGCAGCCUGAGACAAAUAUCCUGGGGGCUUGGGUGUAAUCCAGGGCCGCCAAGGCCAUAUGACCUAGGGUGGCACAGAGGAGAUGGAACUAGAGAGUCUGCCGGCUGGACUUCAGUUGAAAGUGAAGGCAGCUGCUGGCUGAGGUAUAGAACUUCAUGCCUUUCCCUUUCUCAUUUCCCCUUUUCCCCUUCCCUACUCCCUGCACCCCGCCUAAGCUUUAUCACCGAACUCAAAUUCCCUGGACCUACCAGGGGUGAAUGGAUGAGGUCUUUGGUUAUGCUCUGAGUCAAUAAUUUGGUGAGGAAAUUAAAGAACGAACUGACUGAGGCCAUGAGUUGAUGCGUCUCCAUUGCCCAGCUGCAUUCUCUCCAAUACUGCUAGACGUUAGAUAGAUAAGCCAUGAAUGGAGCUAGUUAUAAGAAGCACUUUUGGUUUCAUUGACACAAAGGGAAAGCCUAAUGGGUGGUUGCUUUUUUUCCCUGUAGUUAUGGGAAAACCAACAUUCUACUCAGAUCUCUUGCACAGGAAUGGUGCCAUGCACACAUUGGAUGCUCAAUGGAUAGUAACUGAAAAAAACCAGAACCAGGGUUGAAUUGGAGCCUGCUCUGAUCCAUGCAACAGUUAGAGGUCCCAUCUCCAAGGAAGAACAGUGGCACAUCGGUCUCCUGUGCCCCUUGAAAAUUCUAGGGUCCCCCAUGUCUGGUUUAUAUGUCACCACACUCAUUUUUAGUUUUAAAGACAAAACAGCUACCCAUGUUUAAGCCCCAUUUUCUUUUUAUAGAAAGGAGCAUCCAUAGCCAGGACAUUCCCUGAGCAAAGGGGCCAACCAAAAUCCACAAACGAAGGCCACUACCUUCAGGGGGCACAGAGAAGGGAAUCUAUGAUUUCUGUGCUGGCAAGCCAGCUUAGGAAUGUGAAAGUUGAAAAUGUUUUUAUGGAGAUCUUGGGCCUGGGAGCCGGAACUCUUUCCCUGGGAGCGGACAUGAAAUGCUUCUGAACCUCAGUCUGCUUUGCAGUAACGUGGGGAGAACAACUUACCCUCCCAGAGCUACUAAAGCACCGGGAUAUAGGGGCAAGAAGCCUUUGGGAACAAAAUUUGAUUUCUAAGAAUCCUUUUGUCUUACAGGCCGUCUACUGGUAAACCUGGAGAUACCCUGCUUCCUAUCGGUCCCGCUGUCCACCAGCGCCAGGGUGGGACCAUGCCUGUCUCCAGUCCCUCAUUCUGUAAUCAGCACACAGAGACACAAAAAGACAUUUCCACCAUGGACUUACUCCCUGUGGGAAUUUGGUUCAAUUCUGAAAACGUUCUAGGUUGGCUGCUUGAAUCUUGGUUAAUCGAUUUUAUGGAUUCUUGUCUCGAUGAACUCACUUUUUUGUGACUUUCAAGGUGAAAUUUUCCUAUAGGAUCAGUCUCCUUGGAAAAUGAGAUGCUGAGAAUUACCUAACAUAAACCUACACCUAUCUAAUAUUUUCAGUCUAAGCAAUGAAAUUAACUCAGUUAAGAGUUUCGGUCAUGCACCGUGUACUGGCUAAAUUGCUGAAGAACAGACUUCACAGUGUUGAUUAAAUGUAUCACACUCCUCUCUCUCUCCUAAGCCUUACAGGGAUUUGUUCUCCGCUCCCCUAAUAUGAUGAAGUUCAGAUGGGGGGGGAAUACUGGAAUUUGCAACGAUGUUUGACACCAAAUCUAAGCCCUCCCCACUGCUGGACCACACUGACAGAUUUCUCUCCACACAGAACACCCAAGUCCAAGGAGAACAGCUAGGGGCAUGAGGAAUCUACCAGCCAGGUUAUCACUAAGCUCAAAGCCUUGGGACUUUGUUUUCCAAAAUCUACCUUGAUAGAACUGGAGAAAAACACCCAAAACUCUAUGUACAAAGAAUUGCUGAUCUCACUGAAGCCGUUGCAUACCAAAGAGGAAAGAUGACCUAACCUGUAAUGGUUCAAAU